UUUCCGUAGGUGAACCUGCGGAAGGAUCAUUAAUGUGUUUGGGCCUCACGGCUCUUCAUUCCGGCGCUGUGCGCCUUCGGGCUGCACGCUGAGGGAGCAUAUAUCCACCCCUGUGCACACACACGGUGGCGAGCUGGGUAACGGCUCGCCGCUGAUCUUUACACACGUCUAAAAGUCAUUGUAUGUUUAUUUGAGAUAAAAACACAACUUUCAGCAACGGAUCUCUUGGCUCUC
rnacentral:misc_RNA from 1 species